UCCCCUUGCUUGACGAGCGGCGGACGGGUGAGUAAUGCUUAGGAAUCUUGCCCAGUAGCGGGGGAUAGCCCGGGGAAACCCGGAUUAAUACCGCAUACGCCCUACGGGGGAAAGCAGGGGAUCUUCGGACCUUGCGCUAUUGGAUGAGCCUAAGUCGGAUUAGCUAGUUGGUGGGGUAAAGGCCUACCAAGGCGACGAUCCGUAGCUGGUCUGAGAGGAUGAUCAGCCACAUCGGGACUGAGACACGGCCCGAACUCCUACGGGAGGCAGCAGUGGGGAAUAUUGGACAAUGGGGGCAACCCUGAUCCAGCCAUGCCGCGUGUGUGAAGAAGGCUUUCGGGUUGUAAAGCACUUUCAGUGAGGAGGAAGGCCAAGUCGCUAAUAUCGGCUUGGAUUGACGUUACUCACAGAAGAAGCACCGGCUAACUCCGUGCCAGCAGCCGCGGUAAUACGGAGGGUGCAAGCGUUAAUCGGAAUUACUGGGCGUAAAGCGCGCGUAGGUGGUUUGUUAAGCGAGAUGUGAAAGCCCCGGGCUUAACCUGGGAACGGCAUUUCGAACUGGCAAGCUAGAGUGUGGUAGAGGGUAGUGGAAUUUCCUGUGUAGCGGUGAAAUGCGUAGAUAUAGGAAGGAACACCAGUGGCGAAGGCGGCUACCUGGACCAACACUGACACUGAGGUGCGAAAGCGUGGGGAGCAAACAGGAUUAGAUACCCUGGUAGUCCACGCCGUAAACGAUGUCUACUAGCCGUUGGGGAUCUUGAAUCUUUAGUGGCGCAGCUAACGCACUAAGUAGACCGCCUGGGGAGUACGGCCGCAAGGUUAAAACUCAAAUGAAUUGACGGGGGCCCGCACAAGCGGUGGAGCAUGUGGUUUAAUUCGACGCAACGCGAAGAACCUUACCUGGCCUUGACAUCCUGCGAACUUUCUAGAGAUAGAUUGGUGCCUUCGGGAACGCAGUGACAGGUGCUGCAUGGCCGUCGUCAGCUCGUGUCGUGAGAUGUUGGGUUAAGUCCCGUAACGAGCGCAACCCCUAUCCCUAGUUGCUAGCAGUUCGGCUGAGACUCUAGGGAGACUGCCGGUGACAAACCGAGGAAGGUGGGGAUGACGUCAGGUCAUCAUGGCCCUUACGGCCAGGGCUACACACGUGCUACAAUGGCGCGCACAGAGGGCUGCAAACCCGCGAGGGGGAGCUAAUCUCACAAAACGCGUCGUAGUCCGGAUCGCAGUCUGCAACUCGACUGCGUGAAGUCGGAAUCGCUAGUAAUCGCAAAUCAGAAUGUUGCGGUGAAUACGUUCCCGGGCCUUGUACACACCGCCCGUCACACCAUGGGAGUGGAUUGCACCAG
rnacentral:rRNA from 1 species